rnacentral:rRNA from 1 species
AUUGAACGCUGGCGGCAGGCCUAACACAUGCAAGUCGAGCGGAUGAAGGGAGCUUGCUCCUGGAUUCAGCGGCGGACGGGUGAGUAAUGCCUAGGAAUCUGCCUGGUAGUGGGGGAUAACGUCCGGAAACGGGCGCUAAUACCGCAUACGUCCUGAGGGAGAAAGUGGGGGAUCUUCGGACCUCACGCUAUUAGAUGAGGCUAGGUCGGAUUAGCUAGUUGGUGGGGUAAAGGCCUACCAAGGCGACGAUCCGUAACUGGUCUGAGAGGAUGAUCAGUCACACUGGAACUGAGACACGGUCCAGACUCCUACGGGAGGCAGCAGUGGGGAAUAUUGGACAAUGGGCGAAAGCCUGAUCCAGCCAUGCCGCGUGUGUGAAGAAGGUCUUCGGAUUGUAAAGCACUUUAAGUUGGGAGGAAGGACAGUAAGUUAAUACCUUGCUGUUUUGACGUUACCAACAGAAUAAGCACCGGCUAACUUCGUG